rnacentral:rRNA from 1 species
UACGAAGGGGGCUAGCGUUGCUCGGAAUCACUGGGCGUAAAGCGCACGUAGGCGGAUCUUUAAGUCAGGGGUGAAAUCCUGGAGCUCAACUCCAGAACUGCCUUCGAUACUGGCGAUCUCGAGUUCGGGAGAGGUGAGUGGAACUGCGAGUGUAGAGGUGAAAUUCGUAGAUAUUCGCAAGAACACCAGUGGCGAAGGCGGCUCACUGGCCCGAUACUGACGCUGAGGUGCGAAAGCGUGGGGAGCGAACCGG